AAAAAAAAAUCCUUUUCUCAUGUUUUUUUAUUAGAGAAUCCUAAAACAGGUAAAGACAUUAACAUUGUUAUUAGCCUUUUUGUUAUGGAAAUGGAUGUUUUCCCUGAAAUAAUUAAUCAUUCAAAUGCCAAAAAACACAACAUUUAGACAGAAAAAGAGAUUUUUUUUUCUGUCAUUCAAAAUUUCAGAAGAAGGCAAGCCAGAUCAAGACUAUAUGUUUUCAUAAAGGAAUUUAAUUGCAUGUCAUAUAAUUCACUACAUUUCCUCCUUAAUGUUU
rnacentral:lncRNA from 1 species